rnacentral:rRNA from 1 species
CAUAAUCUCUGAGGAGAAAAGCAGGGGAUCGCAAGACCUUGCGCUUUUGGAGCGGCCGAUGCCUGAUUAGCUUGUUGGUAAGGUAAAAGCUUACCAAGGCUUCGAUCAGUAGCUGGUCUGAGAGGACGGCCAGCCACACUGGGACUGAGACACGGCCCAGACUCCUACGGGAGGCAGCAGUGGGGAAUUUUGGACAAUGGGGGCAACCCUGAUCCAGCCAUGCCGCGUGAGUGAAGAAGGCCUUCGGGUUGUAAAGCUCUUUCAGCCGGAACGAAAAGGUUACGGYUAAUACCCGUGACUAAU